UGCCUACGGGAGGCAGCAGUGGGGAGUAUUGCACAAUGGGGGAAACCCUGAUGCAGCGACGCCGCGUGAGCGAAGAAGUAUUUCGGUAUGUAAAGCUCUAUCAGCAGGGAAGAAAAAUGACGGUACCUGAGUAAGAAGCACCGGCUAAAUACGUGCCAGCAGCCGCGGUAAUACGUAGGGGGCAAGCGUUAUCCGGAUUUACUGGGUGUAAAGGGAGCGUAGACGGUUGUGCAAGUCUGAAGUGAAAGCCCGCGGCUCAACUGCGGAACGGCUUUGGAAACUGCGUAACUGGAGUGCUGGAGAGG
rnacentral:rRNA from 1 species